GGUAAGUGGCGACGACCGGGAAUUAGCCCAGCGACCGAAUCCUGUAUCUUUGGUACUAGGAAUUGUGGUGUAAAGGUUGUGUCUUUAGUUGCUUGAGUAUGCUCCAAAUUCACUUGAUUGUGAUAUUGUCCAGAGAGGGUGUUAGACCCGUUGGAGUGUACAUUGGUGAUUAUUGAUGCUUCCUAUGAGUCGGAUUGUUUGAGAAUGCAGUCCAAAUUUGGUGGUAAACUCCAUCUAAGGCUAAAUACUUGUAUGAGUCCGAUAGCAAACAAGUACCGUGAGGGAAAGUUGAAAAGAACUUUGAAGAGAGAGUUAAAUAGUACGUGAAAUCGCUUAGAGGUAAACGAGUGGAGCCGAAAAGAUCGGAUGGGAUUCAGUUGGAUGUAUGGCGAUGAAGGUGUUCAGUAACAACCACAACAGGCAUUACUGGAUCUUUAUGUAAUUGUCGUACGUACAAUGCACUUUCUGUUCGAUUGGACUGUGACCAAUAGGAUUGUUUUUCUGUCGUAAAGUUGAAGGUGAUCAGUUGCUUGCAAUUGGUUUUAUAGCUCUUUGCACGGUCAAAUGUUAUGUAUUGGUGAAUUAGCAAUCAGUCAAUGUUGGCAAUUUAUUAUAUAUGUCAUUUGGUAGUAGACUACAUGUAGACUAUUGUCAAAUGGUGUGUGUGAUGGAUUGUUGAUGGAUUGGUUUAAAGUCACAGUAUUAUGUAGGUUAUCUACUCGUCCCGUCUUGAAACACGGACCAAGGAGUUUUAUAUGAUCGCGAGUCAAAGGGCUUUACGAAACCCCCAGGGCGUAAUUAAUGUAAAGGUUUACUUUCGUGAACUGAGAUGUGAUCSUGAGUGAGGUGUUGUUUCUGACAAUAUCGCUAUCAGUGCAAUAUCGACCCGUCUAAAGAUGUUCGCAUCUGGGCGGAGUUUGAGCGAUCAUGUAGAGACCCGAAAGAUGGUGAACUAUGCUUGUGCAGGUUGAAGUCAGAGGAAACUCUGAUGGAGGACCGCCGCGGUUCUGACGUGCAAAUCGAUCGUCGGACAUGAGUAUAGGGGCGAAAGACUAAUCGAACCAUCUAGUAGCUGGUUCCCUCCGAAGUUUCCCUCAGGAUAGCUGGCAUUUGUUGUCGUAGUUUGACCUGGUAAAGCGAAUGAUUAGAAGUAUUGGGGGCGAAAUGCCUUCAACUUAUUCUCAAACUUUAAAUGGGUUCGAUGUGUGACUCGCUUCAUUGGAGUUGCACGUUGAAUACGAAUGCCUAGUGGGCCAUUUUUGGUAAGCAGAACUGGCGAUGUGGGAUGAACCAAACAUCUGGUUAAGGUGCCUAACAUCACGCUCAUGAGAUCCCACAAAAGGUGUUGGUUGAUAAAGACAGCAGGACGGUGGACAUGGAAGUCGUCAUCCGCUAAGGAGUGUGUAACAACUCACCUGCCGAAUCAACCAGCCCUGAAAAUGGAUGGCGCUGUAGCGUGAGACCUAUACCGGAUCGGUAUCGUAAGUUGACGAGUAAGACGAGUAAACGAUACCGUGUAGGAGGGUGCCGUGGUUGCUAAGAAGCUACUGGCGUGAGUCAGAGUGGAGCGGCCACGGG
rnacentral:rRNA from 1 species